AGGACUUCCAGCCACCAGCUUGUCCUGCCUGUGUUACCUGACCCAACCAGAGAUUCAGACACACCCACUGUCUGUAGCAGCGUGCCAAUCCCUGGUACCCUGUGAUCCCACGGCACUGAACUUCCAUCCAGUUGGAAUAUGCAUUAUGGAUGGGAACCAAGAAGACGUCAUGUCGCAAGGUGAAUCAACCACAAGGAAAAGAGACUGAAGAUAAAGGUCUGUAACAUGGAGGCACUUCAAUGACGGUGCUCUGACAUGUGACUUUGGCUCACAGCACCUUGUAGCAUGUAUACACCAUGGACUUCCAGAACAAUAGGCAGCCCAACAUACAAUACAAAUGGCAUCACGGGAAGAGGAUUUUGGCUGGCGGAGUGAGCGCAGGAAUGGCGUCGGACAGACAGUGUGACCCAGGGCUCAGGUGGCAGCUGUGCUACGACUUCUCUGCCAGGUCAUGGUGGAUGGUAGGGAUUCUCCCUGUCUAUCUCUAUUGCUUUCUCCAUCACUCUCGCUUUCUU
ensembl:lncRNA